rnacentral:sRNA from 1 species
AUAUAGUUUCCUUUGAAAAUCAACAAAAUCUUAGCCACUAUAUCGAUUCCUAUCACCAUAUCUCGCUGUUAUAAUAUUUCUCAUCACUAUAUUCCGGUUAACAAGUAAUAUUCCUUGAGCUACAAUUUUUUUAAAUAAUCUUCUUUCUAUCAAAUAAUCUAUCUUAAACAAUUAACUACUAACUGAUUUAAUUAGAUCUUCAAUCUAUUGAAUUCACCCAUCAGUAUUAUAAAUAAGCAGAUAACCAUCAUGAUGUCUGUACCUUCUCACAUACACACCUAUCAAAAACUUAAAACCUUUCAAAACCUCUUGGUAUAUUCAUAUUAGGAUUCUUCAUUCAUGGAAUCAUUAUUCCAAGGGUUUUGGGAUGUCUUAUGAAAUAAUUUUGGCAGAAGAGUAUGUAAAAUUUUUUGAAUAAAAAGUAGUCAGCAAAACUUUUCUUUUUUUGGACUUUUUAGAUAAUUAAUUUAGAGAAUAGGGUUGGGCAUAUGAUUAACCCAUUCGAGUUCGGGUAGAACCCGUUCGAGUUUGGGAUUAAUGGGUAUUGGAUUUACUACUUAAUACGGUAAUUCUAAAUAUUCGGUUCGGUCGGGUCCAGUCGGUUUUCAGUCAGUUUGGAUAAAAAGUUUCAGGCCAUAAAAAUACCCAAAAAAAUAGAAACGGGUAUUUUGUAUGUAGAUAGCGGAUCCCCAAACAAAAA